rnacentral:rRNA from 1 species
UACAAGCUCGACCUGCCGCCAGAAAGCCAAGUCCACCCUGUCUUUCACGUGUCGCAGCUGAAGCCCUUCACCCCCGACUAUACGCCGGUGUAUGGUGAACUUCCCAAGGUGCCAGACCUCUCCGUCGACAACCUCACGCCGACCCGCAUCCUGGACAGGCGCAUGAUGAAGCACGGCGACGCGCCGGUGGUGCAGCUCAAGGUUCAGUGGGGCACCGGCGACUCCGCGCCGACGACAUGGGAGGACCACGACGUGCUGCGCAACCGUUUCCCAGCGGCACCACUGUGGGCGGAAGCGGAGGACGAACAAGAUACUGACGAAGAAGAUGAAGACGCGUCUUAA